rnacentral:lncRNA from 1 species
AGCACCAUGCGUAUGUGGCCAGUGAGUUUGCAUUUGUGUAGAAAAUUAUUGCUACUAAAAGAAAUGAAAUGGUUUUCUUCAUCCUUGUUUCAAACCAACUAAUAAACUAGAUGCUUGGAAGACUCUUUUCACUAUAUAGUUCAUGUAUGCACCUCUACUUGAUAAUCAUAAAUAGUUUGAUCACACAAUUCUUUCAAAAAACAAAGAAUCUACUAAAAACAACCAGCAGAUGAUGUAUCUGAAGGCAUUUCGUUUCAGGUGAUAUGUUCGUGACUUAAUUUUGUGGCCUACACAACUAAUGUAGAGGUUAUAUAAGUGUAGAACAGUGAUUUAGGAUAUGAUGUUUUUUAAAUACCUUUCGCGAAUGUUUGUUUGAACUCCGUUCCGAGACCACAUACUUUAGGAAAAUUUUCUUAUGUUUCAACCAAAUAAGCUCUCAAAGGAUUAGCAAGCAAAUGGACCAUUCCGAUUAAACUAUUUGUUCUAGGUCACAAUUGAAGUAUUGAUAUGUUCUGCCCAACGUUCAUUAUACCGAGUCAUGUAUUUUUUUUUCUGAACAUACAUUAUAUUUUCUAGAAAUUGCUCCUCUGUUAGAGAAACAUAUAAAUUCUUCUGUCUUUUUAUUACAUGAUACAACCUAAGGAAAUUGGAACGACUGAUUUAUGUGGGAAACUGAUGGGAUAAAGCUCAAAAGCUCACACCUGGAUAUUUUUUUGUCACACCUUCCAAAUCGUGUAGAAGAAACGCUUACAAAAAGAAGAAAGAGACCUGGUUUGCCUUCCUUGCUGGCGUCCUUGUCAUCUCCAACCCGCCCACAGGUAUUGCAACUCCUUCCCAUCUGGUUUCCUCCUAUGAGAUAUUUUCUUCACUUGAGCUUUAGAAACAUUUAUUUAAGUGGUUACUGGUUGCUCCAGAAAUUUGAUAUUAAUAUGAUUUUGAUAUAGCCAUGAUGGCUCCUGUGUAGUUGUUUGGUUUGGUAUUUGAUUGUAAACUCUGGUUUGGUAUUUUUAGUCGCAUGUUUCAGUGGAAGAAGAAAAAAUAGUGUCAAAGUAGAAUGCACAUCGUUGUGGCAUAGUCGACUAUGUCGUAUGAGAAGAUUUGAUCAGAUGGUCCUUUUUUAUUCUUUCUGAUUUUCUAUAGAUAGUUGGGUUUUCGGAUACAAAUAUAAUUUUGGUAAUCCCAUGAGUUUUUGUCAAUGCCAGGUUUAAUUGUUGACAUAGUAUUGAACAUUUAGUUCAGUUAAAUAUCAUGACAGAUGGCUUCCUUUAUUUAUGUCCAAAUUAAAAAUCAUAUGCAAAUAGACUUGUGCAAGAAAUAAAUUUUGAAUUUGUUUUGGUCCAUUGUCUCAGAUCACACUGAUUCCACUCUUUUUAGGACUCCAGUAGAAACUGCAUGUACAAAUAAUAAUAUACAUUUACAUUGAACUUUGUUCUGUGUAAGUAUGAGUAAAUGCAUUGAUGUGUUCUCACUCUUUCUAGGACUAUAAUAGCAACUACAGUUUGACAGCGCCAAGGAGGCGCUACCCGAUAUACAUCAAUGAUGAUGAAGGUAUAUACAUAUACAUUAUGUUGGAGAGGGAGUAGAAGAGUGGGGAGGGUGAAACAUAUGCCUUGUGCAUGCGUGAACCAAGCAAUGCAUUUGUGCCUUCUUUUUCUAUGUGUAUUUGCUCACCAUCUGUCAUGUUAAGUUGCGGACUAGCUAUUUAACAUUGUGUGCAUAGUUCAAACAUUUCCAUCUUUGAUAAAAUCUUCUUGAUCCAUGGUAGGUUGGUGCACCAGACACGACACCAGAAGUUUCACUACUGCAUAAGUGCGUCUUCAAGGUGACGAGGUGGACGGUAAGGUAUAUGCUUCUACUUGCCUCCGGUGCUUUCUAUUUGAUACAUCAGUACUUCAUAAGUUGGUCUGACUGUUUUCCCUCUCCGUAGUGAACUGCGGGAUGUGCCGUUGGCUGAUGAUGUGCUCUCCAUUAAAACCAAGAAGGCCAUGCGCCACUGAAACCAGAGAGGUCAGAUGUUGUUAUGUGCUCUCCCUUUUUGUACGCCUGUUUGAUCUUCUCUUUCUCACUUCAAUGACUCUUGCGAUGAGCAUCUUGAUUAUGUACGGGUUGGAAAUCGAUAUAUGCAGGACCUUAUCCUUUUGUUUGUGGAUGCGUGAAGAAAGGAUGGUUGGCUAAGGGGGUGUCUCUUCUAGGACAGUGUCACGUGGCUCUGUUAGCUUCGAUUUUAUGGCGCCCUGUUGUCCGAUAUACAUUUAUUUAUGGAUUGGACGCAUCUGGUUAGUUCAUGUUGUUAUGUUGUUCAAGAAUAAGCACAUGUUGCAGUUAGUAUGCUACUCUAUGUAACCUCUUUGUCCUUGGGAUUUCCUUUGCAGCAAACUAAAUGGAUUCUAAAUGCUACCUUGGUCAUUAUUCUUUGUACAAUGCAUGCAGCAGUCUGCGAGUGUUU